rnacentral:lncRNA from 1 species
AAAGAGUUAAAAUUUAUUCCUUUCAAGAAGAUACUGACCCAAGAUUAUUCCCCAACGCCCAAGGUGAGCUUUCAAUACGACUAUAGCUGGAUUAUUAUUCCCAACAUAGAUUCGAAGAAGAAUUCAUCUUGAAACCCUUAGAUCAUCUCUUAGAAUGCAAGAGGUGAAGAACUAGAGUUUCUUCAAGAAGGUAAUCACUGUUGCUUUUACUAUUAAAAUUAGAAUUUUUACAACAUAUUAUGACUAUAGAAUGUACGAUUGAUGCAGUUUAAGGGUAGAAUAACUAUAACAAGCUGGCCUGUCGUUCUGCGUAUUUGAAUCGCGUUUCCUUAUUUGAUGCUUCUUGUAUAUGUGUUUCUUGUUUUAUGACUUGCCGGGAUGAUUGAUUUGGUUACGAGAAGGUUUGAGAAGGAUUUGAAACACUUAGUCUCCUUUUGGAAGCUUAAAUUAUAAGAGCUGAUCAGAGUUUGACUUUUAUGUAAUAGCCUCGGAUUGGUGAUUUGAGUGCCAAUAAGUUCAUAUGGUAAUUUUGGUCUUGGGCGUAGGUUCAAAUUUGGAUUUGGGGAUUCCAAGGUUGAUUUGGCUCUAUUUGGCAGAAGUUAGAAAUUUGAAGGUUUUGAAUGUUCAUAGGUUUGACCGGGAGUUGACUUUGAGGCUAUUGGGUUUGAAUUUUAGUUUCGGAAGUUGAAAUAAGUUGAAUUUGGAUUUGUGUUCAAAUUUGGGUUUAACUCGGAUUCGGCAAAAAUGUUCGGGACUCCCUAAACUUGGCAACUUUUGUUUAGUUCCCGCAUAAACUUCACGUGGCUUUAAUACUCUUGAAAAUUUGAUAGUCUUGACCCUCUCCACCCCCCACCCCACCCCGAUGUUGAUGUGGCAAAGAGUGUGAAUAGCUCUCUUUUAGGCGCGUGGGAGGGAUAAAAAUAAAAAAAUCAGCCUUUCAGGUGGGGUAUUUUUUAAAUAUUAAUUGCUACAUAAUCAAAUAUAAUAAUUUAUUUGUUCAAAUUGUAUUUUCGUUUGUUUCUUUUUAAUAUACAUUACAUAUUUUAUCUCAAUCGUAUUUUUUAGAUACAACGAAUAUAUGUUUUAACUUUAUAUUUCUCAUUUUUUUCGCUUCCAAAUCUACAAAAGUUAGUUAAAACUCCAUUUAUUUUAGCCAAAUAAAAAGAAGAUUUAGCCAAAGUAAUAAAGUUCAAAUGGUGUAUUUUCUACAAAAAGAAAAAAUAUUGUGCAUUUUUAUGUUUAUUUGAUGCAAUGACUAUUUAUUUAAACUAUGCAUUUUUUCUUUUUUGAUUCAAUUAUUCGCAAAUAUUUGGUCGGAAUUUACUAUUUUAGCUAAAAUAUUCAUUUAGCCAAUACAUGAAGUUCCAAGAACGUAUUCUUUUAGAUGCAAUGAUAAUAUAUUAUAACUGUGUAUUUCUUCUUUUCCUGGCCAAAUAUAUAUAUAAGUAACUUGAUUAAAAUGUCAUUAUUUUUAGCCAAAUAAAAAUUAUAAUAAAAAUAACAUUGUUUUAUUUUUAUUUUUUUACAGAUUUUGGCACGAGAAAAUUAUCUAGAUAGUUGAUGGACUUAAAAAUAUAAAAAUAUAGUAUAUUUUAUUGUAAAAACAUUUCACAUAGACAAAAAAAAAUUCAUACGGCAGCACGUGUGUCAUACUUUCAUGGAUUGUCAGCAUAGAGGGGGCUCGAGACUUUGAAAUUGUCAAGUUCAAAGGGGUAUUAAAGACCACGUGAAGUUUAAGGGAGAACUAAACAAACGUUGUCAGGUUCGGGGGGGUGGGUCCCGAACUAUUCUGUCAUCCGGAUUGGUUAGGCUUGAACUGAGCAUUUAGUUUGAAGUUUGGAAUAUGAUUAACUUAAGAGAAGCUUAACAUGUAUUUUGAUCAUCGAUUCUUGGUUUUGAUGUUAGUCGUGGUGUUUUGAACAUUCGGACAAGUUUGGAUAAGGUAUUGGGACUGGUUAGUGUGAUUGGAUGGGAUACCGACUGGGGGGCUCGAGUGUGUUUCCGAGUGGUUUCGGAUCAAUUCUUCUUUGUCUUGGAUUGCUGGUUUUCUGAUGUAUUGAAGUGCUUCGCGAUCACGGAACUAGUCUAGCGAUCGUGGAGAAGAGGGAGCAGAAGGAUUUUCCUCUUUGCAUUCGCGAAGGAGGUAUCACGUCCGCGGAGAGCAGGGAGCAGAAGCAGUGCGAUCGCGUGAGGAGGACACAUUCGCAAAGGAGUGAUGCCAGGGGAAGGAAUGCCUUCACAUUCGUGAAGAUAGGCUCGCGUUCGCGUAGUCUCAGCAGGUGGUCGGACAUCGCGUUCACAAAAGGGUUUCGCGUUCAAGAAGGAGGGGAAGCAAUUGGUCAAGAAUUUGGCCUUCGCGAUCGCGGUGCGAGUCCUGCAAUCGCGAAGUGUAUAAUUGGGCAUAGCAUUUAAAGAUAUAAUUUCAAAAUUUUUCCCAUUCACUCAUAUUUUAAACCCUAGGCUUCGAGAGGUGGAGACUUUGGAGAGCAAGUUCACUAAUACUUGAGGUAAGCAAUUUUCACUUUGAUUUGACUUUAUAUCAUUAUUCUCCAUAAAUUUCUACACCUAAGAGCUUGGAUUUUAAAGUAAUAAUUGGGGGGUUUUGGCAAAACUUUUGGAAAGUGGAUAAUUGAGAUUUGAGCUCCGGGUUAAAGUCGGUUUUGGAUCAAAACUUAUAUAUUUGGACUCGUGUUGGAAUGGGUAUUCGGGAUUUAUGAGUUUUUUCGGGUUUUGGGGGUACGGUCCUGAUUUGACUUUUUUGUUGACUUUGUUUAUUUGUAUAAGAUCGAAACUUUAUUAUUUGAGAUUAUUUUCAAUGUCUUUAUUUGAUAUUAUUGAGUUAUUUUUUUUACUAUAUUUGGGUCAGUUGGAGUUGAAUUUAGAUAGUUAGACAUUUGCUUGAUAUGAGGUUGUUGGCCGGAUGUAAGUCUCUUGUAUAUCCUUGUAAGAGGGAAUUCUCCUCAUAGGUAACUUGAUUGUUGUUUGAUUUAUGAUUUAGGAGCCACAUAUAUGUGAGGUGAUGAGUGUAUAUGCGUAAAAGGUUUUGGACCGUAUCAGGUAUUUGUUGACUUGAAUUGUGCUUUGUCGAAUUAUGUGAAGUUGCUACCCAUGUUCAAAUUAAUUCUACUACUACUCGAUAAUUUAUAUUUAUAAUUUAGGAGCAUGCCUAGGGUUAUAACUUAAUGAUUUGACAUAAGGGUUAUAUUGCCAUACAAAAUUUAUUGUAAAUUUAUAGUCAUAUACUUGCUUUAUUUGCUCCAUGAUUUCUAUGAUUUUGAUGGCCUAAUUAGCUCAUGAUAAUAAUAUAAUUAAGCUUCAAAUAUGCUAAUAGCUUAUUGAGUCAUAGUGAUAAAAUGAGUUAGACGGUUUGCCAUAGCUAUUACUUAGCCAUUUGAGCUUUUAUCUGCAAUUUUAUUGUCAUAUAUUGUGCCCCUUUAUUAUAUCGUUCCUUACACGUAUGCAUGAGUAAAAAGUGGUUAUUGAGAAAAGUUGAGGAUUUUAGCACUAUGGGCAAUCAAGUAGAUAUUGAUACUAAUUAUUGGAUUGAUGAUGUUAUGAUUUAGAUCGGGUUGCGCUCUGCAAAACAUGAUUGGUGAUAUUUAAUUAUAAAAUGACCGAUGCUUGGAUUAUGGAUCCAUCCCUCCACAGUUAGAUGAGUACCCAUGUUACCUUGAGCUCCAUGAGCGUAGGCCCCCGUGAUUCUUUUGGUGUCUGUUGGACACGUGGCCUAUGUUAGGCACAUGAAUUUUGCUGUGAGUUGUUAAGGAAAGGAUCAUGAGCAUGCUUAUUUAUAUUUGUUUAGACUUAUGCUAUGAAUUAAAGUAAUUAUUGUUGACUAGUAUCAGUUUUACUCGAGAGUUGAGGUUACUUAUUAUUUUAUUUGAUUAUGGUUAUUUGAAAAGUAUGCCUAAAUUUCAUAUGAAUUGCAUUUUAAGCUUUUAUGCUUGUUGAUGAUAGCAUUCUUAGCUUUCUAUUUAAUAUUUCUCUCACCUGCUUAUUUGACUACUAGUGAGUGACGGAAUCGACCCUUCACCACUACUUCUUCGAGGAUAGACUUGAUACAUACUAAGUACCAUUGUUUGUACUCAUACUAUAAUCAAUCAUCCAUAAUCUAUAGUGAACAGUUGAACACAACUCAAUAUUGUAUUGUACAUCAAGAUAAUAAUCAAUCAUCCAUAUUCCCUUCAGCAUCUCAAGAAACUACUUCUUCUCACACCCAUUUAAACUAUCUAAGCAUAGGUCAUCAGUCACAUAAUACUCAUCACAUAGUCAUCAUGCCACUCAUUGAGCCAUCAAUCCCACCCACUAGGGACACCAUCAGACGUAGGAGUCCAAAAUCACAUGCUCACACAACUAAAUAUGCCGAGCCAAUGUUGCGGUCGAAGCAUGGCCACAAAUCCUUUAGAUUGGACUACCUUAAUAAUACCAAAACACAUCUCGCACCUCAUCCAUGACAUCAUAAGUUGUCAGUGGAUAACUGAUAUCGAGUACUGAACAUCGCAUACAGAUCAAAGAGAAAAAAAUUGAAAAUUUAGGCUUCAAACUUAAUCAAAGUUGAACGAUAAGGAUGAGAAAGAAAAAAGAAGUUGUUACCUAAAUGCUUUGUAGUCUCUCAAAGAUAAGUAUCAACGCCAUAUUACCGAUCCACAAGACUCUACUAGACACAUGCUCAUGACUCGUAGAACAUAUGAACUUAAAGCUCUGAUACCAACUUGUCACGACCCAAAAUCCCAUCUAGUCAUGAUAGCACCUAACACCAACAUGCUAGGUAAUACAAAUAAUAAAUAGCAUAACUUGAAUAAAAGAUCAUCAAUAAUCAAUAAAUAAUAUGGCGAAAAGUCCAAGCAACUAUCCCAUGGAUUGGUAGUACAAGUCAUGAGCCACGAAGAUUCAGAUUUACAAUGUUGGCAUAAAGAAAAUACAAUAUCUGUUUGAAUAUACAAAAAUAGAAGUUCAAAUCCUAAACUACCAUAAACAAGAUCGCAGCUUGCAGUUGGAAUGUGGGUACAUCCUCAAUGCUAGCCUUCGAUAUCCACAUUAGAUCAUCUCCGAAAUCUGCACGCAAGGUGAAAAAAUACAGUAUGAGUUUAAUUGACCCUAUAUACUCAGUAAGUAUCUUGAUUAACCUUAGUGAAAUAGUGACAAAGUUUAUUUUAAGUUAGAAAAUAGAUACUUUACUUAACAUGUGCAACUUAAUAGCAUAUACAUGUACACAAUACAAUACUAAAAUUUAAGCAUGAAUUACAAGUAAAGCCAUCGGUGCACAUAGAGAUCAUAUGCACCAGUAUCAUAAACUAUUACAAUUCAACAUAUAGAAAAGAUAUGCAUUAAAAUAUCAAAUAACACAUCAAUAAUUUGCAUUUAUGGUUUCGGUUCGGUUUCGAAUAGUCCUAAUCUCAGUCUCUGUUGUUAUUUAUUUAUACAUCAUACUAUCAUUGUCGGGCUAGUUUCAUGACAUUGUGAGCACGUGAGAGAAAGACUUGAGAGAUUGAUGACUGAGUAAGGCUGAGAGCCUGAUUAUGAGUGACAUUUAUGGGAUCGGGAUGCACGCCGCAACGAGUUUUACUGAUUUAUGAUAGCGCUUGGGCUGAAGGAAUCCCUACGAAGUCUGCGCACACCCCCAGUGAGCACGGUUGAUUAUAUUGAGGGAUGGAUCUUUCCUAGACAUGGAUCUUAUUCGAAGCAUCUAUAUAUGGGGAUGGAUCUUCCCCACGGGCUGGAUUGGCCUUACCCAGUACUGAAUGACUGAUGGUCAGUUGAUGUAUCUAUUCCAUGAUGGAUCUUCCCUGGGCCAGAUUGGCCAUAUACAAUAUUGAGUGAUUGAGCAUUUCGAGAGUAUGAGCACAUGAGGCUGUCAGCAUGGUGCAUCACAUACAACAUGUAUAUUGGCAUAUAGAGGUAGAGGAGUUAUAUUCUUCAAAUCAUUCAGAUUUGAUCUAUCUUUCUGUAUUGAGUUUAACCGUUGAACUUGAAAGCAUGUCUAUGUUUCUACACUAUUAUUUCUCUAUUGAAUUGUGUCGGUUGCGAUCGUCACUACUUUUAGUCCAAAGUUUGGAUUUGUUACUUAUUGAGUUGGUUGUACUUACGCUACACCCUGCACCUCGUGUGCAGAUCCAUGUGCUUCAGGUCACGGCGGCUCCUGAUUGGUAGAGUCAGGACCUUUGGAGAUUAUCGAGGUAGCUGCAUGGCGUUCGCAGGCCUUGACCCUCCUUCCUCAUAUUUAUUUAUGUUUCAGUUCUUAUUCUCUAGAUGUUGUAUUAGACUUUAUCCCUGUAUAGAUGCUCAUGUACUCGGUGACACCCUGAUUUUGGGAGAGAUUCGUAUUGAGUUGCAAAUUUUAUUCUAUUUUUGAAAAGUCUUCUUAAAU